rnacentral:rRNA from 1 species
UCUACGGGAGGCAGCAGUGAGGAAUAUUGGUCAAUGGGCUUACGCCUGAACCAGCCAAGUCGCGUGAGGGAAGACUGCCCUAUGGGUUGUAAACCUCUUUUGUCAGGGAGCAAUUGGCGCUACGUGUAGCGUUAUCGAGAGUACCUGAAGAAAAAGCAUCGGCUAACUCCGUGCCAGCAGCCGCGGUAAUACGGAGGAUGCGAGCGUUAUCCGGAUUUAUUGGGUUUAAAGGGUGCGUAGGCGGACUGGAAAGUCAGCGGUAAAAUCGAGAGGCUCAACCUCUUUCCGCCGUUGAAACUGUCGGUCUUGAGUGGGCGAGAAGUAUGCGGAAUGCGUGGUGUAGCGGUGAAAUGCAUAGAUAUCACGCAGAACUCCGAUUGCGAAGGCAGCAUACCGGCGCCCGACUGACGCUGAGGCACGAAAGCGUGGGUAUCGAACAGGAUUAGAUACCCCAGUAGUC